AUGAUGUCUUCGUCGCCGCCCGCCGGCGCCGCCGACGGCGACAUGGAGACGCUGCCCCUCGCCGCCGCCUCCGACUACGCCUCCGUGGCCUCCACCUUCGACCCCCUCCUCUCCUCCUCCUCGCCCGCCUCCCCUCCCGCCCCCGCCGCCUCCCCCNNNNNNNNNNNNNNNNNNNNNNNNNNNNNNNNNNNNNNNNNNNNNNNNNNNNNCGCCUCCUCCCCGCGCUCCGCCUCGGCCUCCUCCUCCUCCUCCCCGAGAUCCGCGCGCGCCGCCACGUCCGAGUACUCCUACAUCGCCGUCUCCGACCCGGAGACCGAGGCCGAGGCCGCCGCCACCUCCCUCGUCCCCGGAUCCGCCCCCACCUACAUCUCCUACCUCGUCACCAGCGCCCGCCGCGGCGACCACCGCCGCCACUCCGUCCGCCGCCGCUUCCGCGACUUCGUCACCCUCGCCGACCGCCUCGCCGAGUCCUUCCGCGGCCACUUCGUGCCCCCGCGCCCGGACAAGAACACCGUCGAGAGCCAGGUCAUGCAGCGCGACGAGUUCGUGGCCCAGCGCCGCGCGGCUCUCGAGAGGUACCUGUGGCGGCUCGCUGAGCACCCCGCGAUCGGGACCAGCGACGAGCUGCGCGUGUUCCUGCAGGCCGAGGGCAAGAUGCCGCUGCCGAGCAGCACUGACGUUGCCUCGCGGAUGCUCGAUGGCGCGGCGCGUCUGCCAAGGCAGCUGCUUGGGGAGGAGGCGGUGGCCCCGCCGCAGGACGUGGUUCAGCCGGCCAAGGGCGGGAGGGACCUGCUGCGGAUAUUUAAGGAGCUGAAGCAGUCGAUGGUCACGGACUGGGGUGGCGUGAGGCCACCACUGGUGGAGGAGGACAAGGAGUUCCUGGAGAAGAAGCAGAAGAUGCAGGAUUGGGAGCAGCAGCUCAGUAGCGCAUCGCAGCAGGCGGAAGCACUUGUCAAGGCUCAGCAAGAUAUGGGUGACACAAUGGGUGCUCUUGGAUUGGCAUUCGUCAAACUUACAAAGUUUGAGACUGAGGAGGCAAUUUAUGAAUCUCAGAGGAUAAGAGCUGUUGACAGCAAACGUAUAGCAACGGCAGCUGUCAAAGCUAGCAGGACAUGUCGAGAUCUGAAUACACAAACUGUUAAAUAUCUGGAUACUUUGCAUGAACAUUUGGGGAUAAUGCUGUCUGUCCAUACUGCAUUUUCUGAUCGGGCUAGUGCAUUAUUGACUGUUCAAACGCUUAUGUCAGACCUUGCAUCAUUACAAUCAAGGAUUGAGAAACUUGAAGCUGCAUCAUCGAAAGUAUUUGGUGGUGAUAGAACUAGGCUAAGGAAAGUUCACGAGCUGAGAGAAACAAUAAGAGCUACUGAAGAUGCUAAGUGCUGUGCGUUAAGGGAAUAUGAGAGAAUCAAGGAAAAUAACAAAAUUGAACUCAGCAGAUUAGAUAGAGAAAGGAGAGAAGAUUUCCUGGAGAUGCUGAAAGGAUAUGUUACAAGCCAGGCUUCAUAUGCAGAGAAGAUCGUUGACGGUUGGGAGACAGUGGCGGAGGAGACCAGCGGAUAUGCGCGAAGAUCAUCAAAUGACGCAACAUAUUAG
rnacentral:rRNA from 1 species